rnacentral:rRNA from 1 species
UUAAGUUAUUAAGGGCGCACGGUGGAUGCCUUGGCACUAGAAGCCGAUGAAGGACGUUACUAACGACGAUAUGCUUUGGGGAGCUGUAAGUAAGCUUUGAUCCAGAGAUUUCCGAAUGGGGAAACCCAGCAUGAGUUAUGUCAUGUUAUCGAUAUGUGAAUACAUAGCAUAUCAGAAGGCACACCCGGAGAACUGAAACAUCUUAGUACCCGGAGGAAGAGAAAGAAAAUUCGAUUCCCUUAGUAGCGGCGAGCGAAACGGGAAGAGCCCAAACCAACAAGCUUGCUUGUUGGGGUUGUAGGACACUCUAUACGGAGUUACAAAGGACGACAUUAGACGAAUCAUCUGGAAAGAUGAAUCAAAGAAGGUAAUAAUCCUGUAGUCGAAAAUGUUGUCUCUCUUGAGUGGAUCCUGAGUACGACGGAGCACGUGAAAUUCCGUCGGAAUCUGGGAGGACCAUCUCCUAAGGCUAAAUACUCUCUAGUGACCGAUAGUGAACCAGUACCGUGAGGGAAAGGUGAAAAGCACCCCGGAAGGGGAGUGAAAUAGAACCUGAAACCGUGUGCUUACAAGUAGUCAGAGCCCGUUAAUGGGUGAUGGCGUGCCUUUUGUAGAAUGAACCGGCGAGUUACGAUUUGAUGCAAGGUUAAGCAGUAAAUGUGGAGCCGUAGCGAAAGCGAGUCUGAAUAGGGCGUUUAGUAUUUGGUCGUAGACCCGAAACCAGGUGAUCUACCCUUGGUCAGGUUGAAGUUCAGGUAACACUGAAUGGAGGACCGAACCGACUUACGUUGAAAAGUGAGCGGAUGAACUGAGGGUAGCGGAGAAAUUCCAAUCGAACCUGGAGAUAGCUGGUUCUCUCCGAAAUAGCUUUAGGGCUAGCCUCAAGUGAUGAUUAUUGGAGGUAGAGCACUGUUUGGACGAGGGGCCCCUCUCGGGUUACCGAAUUCAGACAAACUCCGAAUGCCAAUUAAUUUAACUUGGGAGUCAGAACAUGGGUGAUAAGGUCCGUGUUCGAAAGGGAAACAGCCCAGACCACCAGCUAAGGUCCCAAAAUAUAUGUUAAGUGGAAAAGGAUGUGGCGUUGCCCAGACAACUAGGAUGUUGGCAGGGGGUUUCCGCCCCUUAGUGCUGCAGCUAACGCAUUAAGCACUCCGCCUGGGGAGUACGACCGCAAGGUUGAAACUCAAAGGAAUUGACGGGGACCCGCACAAGCGGUGGAGCAUGUGGUUUAAUUCGAAGCAACGCGAAGAACCUUACCAAAUCUUGACAUCCUUUGACAACUCUAGAGAUAGAGCCUUCCCCUUCGGGGGACAAAGUGACAGGUGGUGCAUGGUUGUCGUCAGCUCGUGUCGUGAGAUGUUGGGUUAAGUCCCGCAACGAGCGCAACCCUUAAGCUUAGUUGCCAUCAUUAAGUUGGGCACUCUAAGUUGACUGCCGGUGACAAACCGGAGGAAGGUGGGGAUGACGUCAAAUCAUCAUGCCCCUUAUGAUUUGGGCUACACACAAGCUGCUCUUUGUAAGGUUUCAAUCUUUUUAAAAUAUAGGUUAGUUUUCUACGAUAAAUUCGUCUCAUUUUAUUUAAAUGCCUUUCAAAACCACCGGAAGAUAUAAACGUUGCAAUAAGGUUUUGCAUAUGAACAGGUACAGUGUUGCCUUCAAUGUGAUUUUGAGAAUGAUAUUUUUUCAUUAUAGAAUAGGGUAACACCAUAUAUGCAACUCGACAGCUAGGAAAAAUAGACUUUGAAAAUGUACUGAUAUAAAUCACUUUUUCUCCUAAGAGCCGCAGUGAAUAGGCCCAAGCGACUGUUUAUCAAAAACACAGGUCUCUGCUAAACCGUAAGGUGAUGUAUAGGGGCUGACGCCUGCCCGGUGCUGGAAGGUUAAGAGGAGUGGUUAGCUUCUGCGAAGCUACGAAUCGAAGCCCCAGUAAACGGCGGCCGUAACUAUAACGGUCCUAAGGUAGCGAAAUUCCUUGUCGGGUAAGUUCCGACCCGCACGAAAGGCGUAACGAUUUGGGCACUGUCUCAACGAGAGACUCGGUGAAAUCAUAGUACCUGUGAAGAUGCAGGUUACCCGCGACAGGACGGAAAGACCCCGUGGAGCUUUACUGUAGCCUGAUAUUGAAAUUCGGCACAGCUUGUACAGGAUAGGUAGGAGCCUUUGAAACGUGAGCGCUAGCUUACGUGGAGGCGCUGGUGGGAUACUACCCUAGCUGUGUUGGCUUUCUAACCCGCACCACUUAUCGUGGUGGGAGACAGUGUCAGGCGGGCAGUUUGACUGGGGCGGUCGCCUCCUAAAAGGUAACGGAGGCGCUCAAAGGUUCCCUCAGAAUGGUUGGAAAUCAUUCAUAGAGUGUAAAGGCAUAAGGGAGCUUGACUGCGAGACCUACAAGUCGAGCAGGGUCGAAAGACGGACUUAGUGAUCCGGUGGUUCCGCAUGGAAGGGCCAUCGCUCAACGGAUAAAAGCUACCCCGGGGAUAACAGGCUUAUCUCCCCCAAGAGUUCACAUCGACGGGGAGGUUUGGCACCUCGAUGUCGGCUCAUCGCAUCCUGGGGCUGUAGUCGGUCCCAAGGGUUGGGCUGUUCGCCCAUUAAAGCGGUACGCGAGCUGGGUUCAGAACGUCGUGAGACAGUUCGGUCCCUAUCCGUCGUGGGCGUAGGAAAUUUGAGAGGAGCUGUCCUUAGUACGAGAGGACCGGGAUGGACAUACCUCUGGUGUACCAGUUGUCGUGCCAACGGCAUAGCUGGGUAGCUAUGUGUGGACGGGAUAAGUGCUGAAAGCAUCUAAGCAUGAAGCCCCCCUCAAGAUGAGAUUUCCCAACUUCGGUUAUAAGAUCCCUCAAAGAUGAUGAGGUUAAUAGGUUCGAGGUGGAAGCAUGGUGACAUGUGGAGCUGACGAAUACUAAUCGAUCGAAGACUUAAUCAA